UCCAAUGUGUAAACUCCUUUUCGCUUGCUUCGACAAAGUUGCCGGUGGGUGUCGCCACCAGUCCCGGACUUUGACGUUGAGAUGAGCAGUGAAAAAAGCAUGCGGUCUUCAUGUGUUAGCAAAGUUUUCGUAAGCUUUAAUAUUAUUUUGAUUUUUAUCAACUAGGUAUUACAACAUUUUCUUCAAUUUACAGAGUUAUUAUAUGACAUUUCUGCUCAAACUACAACCGAUCAACGCCGAUUAGUAAAUCAUUGGAACUCCUCCGGCCACUGCUAGGAAUACUGUUUCCUUUCGAACCUCCGGAGGCGCGUUUACCCCGUGCAGCUGCAGCUCAAAUGGCAUCACUACCAUCGGAACCGACUGCCAUAAUUUGUCGAAUAUUUCGGUUUAUUCUGACGUGUAUUCGUGAACACGCCCAUCAUCUUCCGGAAGUUGCCCUGGUACGUCCGGAUUCCCUCAAACAUUGCCCGCUUGCGCAUCAUCUCCACAUCUUUCCGCUCAACUGCUCGGAAAACUCCGCAGCCGUAGAUUCUCUCCCGGAUCUCAUUCCGGAUUCAUUCCGUACCUGGCAUUCCGGCAGAGAACCGAAGAAACGCAAACCAGGAAGAACCGCAAAAAUGAGUCGUCGUACGAGAAAGAUGCCCAAGCUGAGGUGAGUUCGUCGGAGCUGAUGUUUAGGUACUCAGAGCUGCUAUCUCAAUGCAUUCUAUUUCAACUCUUCCGGGCGGGACCUAAGUCGAGCGGUAACCCUGCUGGAGAUUAUUAAGCGACGGGAGAAGAUCAACAGCGAACAGCUGCACCUCAGUAUCGAAGUGUACGAGAAGCGGUACCAGGCGCACGACUUUGCCGGCCAGAUACUGGCCGAGUUCGCCUCGAACGCGACCAAGCGUCACGGUUGGUUCCCCGGUCGGCGAUCGUCGCAGAUUGUAACGCUCUUGUUUCUUUAAGUCCCGCGUUCGCGCCAAUCUACUCGAACCAGUAUUCGUCGCACCACGGGGCGACGCCGGCGGACAGGUUGUGGACAAUCACAGCAGUAGUCGGAAGGAGAAGCGGCAGUACAAGAAGCCAAGGCACGAAAUCCAAAAGGAUCGCGGCGGGACGUCUACCAGCGGUUCAGCGAUGGUCGGCGCCGGAAGUUCAUGGGCCGGGACGGAUCGGUGCUGCCCGGCGCCUGUGAUCCCAGUGCGAUAGCCGCCAGCGCUGGCCUUCAUGGAAGUGGCACUACCGGCGAUCCAGCGCUGUCCUCGGAAAAGGAGGAACCUGCCAACCUGCAGGGUGCAACCGCCCCGGAGGAAGAGUACGCGUACACUGUCCAGCCGAGAAAGUUUAGUGUCUGGAAUUAGCCCUGGGUGUCGAAUGAGGAGAACGGUGGCCAACUGCCCGGACAUUACGCGCAACAUUGCAUUUAUAUUACAUACUUGCCGACCACGACAACCGAGUCCGGUGUACUACGACCUUUUCGCUCUAACGGGUUGGGCGUACGCGUCUCCGAUACGCGAUAAACCGUGACUAUGAAGCAGGUCAAACCAGAUGCGCCGUUCCUGCAUUUUGAUUUCCCUGGGGCAUCGGUGCUGCUGCAGCCCACUUCCGGCUGAAUGGACGGCCGCUGGAUGUCCUUGGACGACAAGGGUGAGCGAAACCGGUAGUUGGAGAACUGGCACACGUGACAAGCAUUCUUCUGCAAUCGACGACACCGCUGGAACCGAUACUAAUGGUCGCUGCAGCGACCCUCACGGAACGGACUGCCUUUGUGUGCGCAUCGGCUAUCCGGUAAAAAUCCAUCGUCCCAACGAACCUUCUGAUCAAACCACCCAAUCGACGGUCAGCUUGGCCGGUUCUACGACGAUAACCGCAAUUAUGCAGUCUUUGAGCGUCUCAAGCAUCGCUCAGUCGAACGGGAGAAUGUUACCGACGCUUCGGUAGUCCUGUUUUGUCCCAGAUAAGAUCACUUUUGAUGCUGGCGCCCAAACCACCGCCCAUUCUGAUCCAUGAUAAUUAAGGCCCUCAACAAGCUCAAGGAACUGCAGGAUUGCGACAUGAACGCGGUGUUGAAGGACCACGCCGUAACGACGAAUCAAUUUCUUCGAUAAAGCAACACGAACCUGCCCACGAAGGAGGGCCUGAGUACGGAGUAACGGGUGUUCUAUUUGUUGGAAUGCGUCAACCUUGCAGACUGGACCGGAAGAACCGGUCAAGGACACUGCUAACUCCAGACCACUAGCGCCGAUACCAACAUCAAUCUAGAACUCGAAUAAUGUCACCGGGAGUCCCAUCAACUAAACACUGGCAGCUCCGACAACUCACUGCGCAUUGAGAGCUAUAUGAUGAUUUUACAGAACCUAACCCUUGGCCAACAUGAAAAAGUCGGCGAAAAUUGCUCCGUCGUCGUCGAAUCUAACCUGGUCAAGCGGCCACGCUCGUGCUGUUCAAGAACAAGGGUAACUCGGAGCGCAACGGUCUUUACAUCCGUUUGCCGGUUCUACGGCGAUAGCCGCAAUCUCACAGUCUUCGAGCGCCUCGAGCAAUGCCCCAUCCGCCGCGGGAAUGGUACCAAAACGUGUAUGGGUACAGGAGAAAGCGCCAACGGAAGAUGCUUCACACUAGCACGCCGUAGGCGUAAAAGGUCAACAAUUUUGUUAAGUCGAGUCGAGUGAAGUGAUUGAAUAAGAAAUGAGAAAGUUUGUGUACAAAACUCAAUAAAUACAUUUUUUUAAUGUUAUAAUUUAAGCCACAAAAAGAAAGAAAUAAUUUGUCCAAUCUAUUCACCAACAGGUGGCAGCACAAUAUUCCCGCUAGUCGACAGCUUCCCAUUUUUGCCACCAGGCGGCUACCGCCAAAUCAAAAAUUUACACAUUGGAUGCGUUUUUGCCCAGAAUCCAGAAAAUGUGUUCCGGGCUGUUUACACGGAGCGGUGGUUCAAGCGUGGUCUUGUGCGAAAAUAGUUGGAUUCUACACUUUUUGGUGUAAUUCUUAUCUUCAGUGUAAGCUGCCGCAUUUUGGUCGCAAUCGUCGCAAUCCAUUUUGUUCCCGGGCCGUCCAAACCUGACGACACCGCACAUUUUUUUAACCCAAAUUUGGUGCCACGGG